UACGGAGGGGACUAGCGUUGUUCGGAAUUACUGGGCGUAAAGCGCACGUAGGCGGAUUUGUAAGUCAGGAGUGAAAUCCCGAGGCUCAACCUCGGAACUGCCUUUGAUACUGCAAAUCUCGAGUCCGGAAGAGGUGAGUGGAAUUCCUAGUGUAGAGGUGAAAUUCGUAGAUAUUAGGAAGAACACCAGUGGCGAAGGCGGCUCACUGGUCCGGUACUGACGCUGAGGUGCGAAAGCGUGGGGAGCAAACAGG
rnacentral:rRNA from 1 species